GUGUUGAACAACCAUUGGAUCGCUUGAUGAGAGCGGUUAAAAACAUGUCUGACAAAGCAUUGCAGUCGUCAGUUCAAGACAUCUAUUCAGUUGUCAGUAUGAAUGAUAGAAUAGCAGGAUCUGCUCCAGGAAAUGGGUCAAGAGCAGCUGUUGGCGAAGAUUUGGUUGCCAUGACCAAAUGUCGUCUCCAAGCGAGAAACUACUUUACGCAGGAUGGACCUACAGGAACAAAGAAAAUGAAGCGAUAUACAACUUCCAACGUUGUGUCGUCAAGCAGCAGUUUGAAUGAUAGUUUCUGGCAGGUGAAUUAUUCUGAAACACCUGAGUUAGAGUCAACAGCAACAUCCAAUGCCAAAAGACCUAAAAUAGAGGUUAAUAUAGCACUGGUUGAAGAGAUACAGAAAAUCAAUCGGCAACUUAUCGACACUGUUGUAGAAAUUAGUGACGAAGGUGUUGAUCCAAGUGCUCUUGCUGCUGCAACGGAGGGUGGUGAAGGCACUACUGUUAAGUGUUCUUUCACUGCCGUUGCAUUGAGUCCAAACUUAAAAGCACUGUAUGCUUCAGCGCAGAUGUCUCCAAUUCAGCCUUUGAGAUUGCUCGUUCCAGUUAAUUAUCCAAACUGCUGUCCGAUUUUGUUGGACAAGUUUCCAGUUGAAGUUAGUAAAGAGUAUGAAGAUCUAUCCACAAAGGCCAAGUCAAGGUUUAGUGUCUCCCUGCGAAGUCUUUCACAGCCAAUGUCUCUAAAAGACGUAGUCAAGACUUGGGAUGUUUG
rnacentral:misc_RNA from 1 species